rnacentral:tRNA from 1 species
UCUAAUGUGGCAGAGUAGUGCAAUGAACUUAAAAUUCAUACAUAAAUUUUCUUAUUUUUAUUAGAA